rnacentral:rRNA from 1 species
AAUACGAAGGGGGCUAGCGUUGCUCGGAAUCACUGGGCGUAAAGCGCACGUAGGCGGGUUGUUAAGUCGGGGGUGAAAUCCUGGAGCUCAACUCCAGAACUGCCUUCGAUACUGGCGACCUUGAGUCCGGGAGAGGUGAGUGGAACUCCGAGUGUAGAGGUGAAAUUCGUAGAUAUUCGGAAGAACACCAGUGGCGAAGGCGGCUCACUGGCCCGGUACUGACGCUGAGGUGCGAAAGCGUGGGGAGCAAACAGGA